UAGUCUUCAAGGUACCGCGAC
rnacentral:siRNA from 1 species